UUUAAGUUUUAUGAUAUCAAUAUGACAUUAAGUUGUUAUAUACAAGGAACUACAUUUGUUUACAACGUAGCCUAACACCACACACAAUUCACUUUCGAUAUCAAACUAUCGAGUCGAUCACGAGGUGCACAAUAUUUGCUUCUUUGUUAUAAUAUGUGGUUAUUCGUGACGAAAUAACAAAUAUUACUUGGAUUUAAGCUAAUUAUAUACAUUAACAUUUUGAAUGUUGAAAGUGGCACCAAAGAAUUGUGAGGCAAAGUUGUUCGAACUAGAGAAAGACAUUUGCUGGUGAAGUGACUGGGUGGGGCGAACAUCAAGAUCAACUUUUUCGACGGUAGACAGUGGUUGUCUAGGCUGCAUUUCGGCCAUAGUUUCGGUGCAUGAAGGUGAACAAGAGGAAUCUGUUGGAUUGUUACAUUAACUGGACUGAGCAAGAAUGAUCACUUUUGCUGCUGUUCAACAGAUAUGUUGGAAUAAUUGGUUAUUGACUGGACAUUUUUGUGCCCUGUUAUGGCCAUGGUUUCAGUGGGUGGAAUGUUUGCAUUUCGAAGUUUUUGGACCAGGAAUUUGCGAACUGAGUGGUUCGUUAUUCUCUUGUGCUUGAGAAAGCCGGCGUCUUUUGCCAUGGCCUUCAGCAUCUGACCUAACUUGUUGACACCCAAUUGUUGACGCAAGAAUCACCGGGAUGCAGUGUCAUUUGUGCGUAUUGAUAGGUAAAAAAAAUGCUUUGAAGACAAAUCAGAUGGACGCAUAUCCGAGUACAGCUUGUAAAUGAACACAGGAUUUCUUGGUCCAGACGAUUGUUUUCUACGGUCAAAGGGGAGCAACUCGAACUGACUUCUUCAAAGGGGAGCAACAACAACAGAACCUAUUUGCAUAGUGUUGAUUUUACCUAAUACUAGGUUUUAAUGACAAUAAAUGACAAAAAACUCGUUUUUUUGCUACUUUCCUUUGUUUUAAGGUCAUUAAGAUUGACAAACAUUUGAGAUUGUUUUUAUUAUUGAUGCACUUUGCAAAUACAGGUGACGAGGUGCGUGGGAAAAAGUAGUCCCGGUUCGGCAGUUUAUGACGUCAUUUCGUGCCAUUGAUUAUAGCCUUGCCGUUGAUUAUAGAUGAAAUUUAAUCAACGGGGCUUUAAUCAACCGAUUUCGCUGUAAAAGUGGGAUAAAUAUAUUUAUUUUAUGAGAUGAGCAGUAGAUAAGACAUUGUUCGUGUAAAUUAACCAAUGAAUGAACGUUUUACGUUAUGCUUAUCCAAUCUUUUAAAUUUUAUCCACCAGAUAAUAUGAGUCGUGUUCUCAAAAAACUGGCCACAAUGCAUGUGCGUAAAGUGUCGUCCCAGAUUAGCCUGUGCAGUCCGCAAAAGCUAAUCGGGGACGACACUUUCCGAAUAAAACUUGAUUUUCGGUAAGAAGUGACUUCCUUGAAACUAAAAUACCAUAAAUCGAAAAGUGUCGUCCGUGAUUAGCCUGUGUGGACUGCACAUCUCCGAAUUUCAUUCAUAACCCUUUCCAUUUAUUAUCAUCAUGAAAUAAAAGAGCAUGAAAUUAUGCAUACAUGUAAAACAUGUUACAAUAUAUAUAUAUAUAUAUAGUUCUCAGAAAACUGGGCAUAAUGUUUGUGCGUAAAGUGUCGUCCGAGAUAGAUUAGCCUGUGCAGUCCGUACAGGCUAAUCAGGGACGACACUUUCCGCCUAAAUUGGAUUUUUGCUAAGAAGAGACUUCAUUUAAACGAAAUAUGUCAUAAAAGCGGAAAGCGGAAAGCACGGGCUUAUCUGGGACGACACGUUACGCAGAUGCAAUAUGCCCAGUUUUCUCAGAACGUGACUCUAAUAAUCGUCAAUCUAGUGUUUCCGUUCACACAUCGCUGCAGGUGUGUAACUCCCCCAGUGGAACUACGCAGGUUACAACGGCCGGAAGUACAGAUACGUGUAUGGAGUAGGGCUUCACAAGGGCGACAGAGUCUCUACCAGUGUUGUGAAGAUCAACAAGUGCUACGAGGAGUUGAGCGAGGCCGGAUGUUACGUGUCUGAGCCGGUGUUCAUAGCCGACCCUUGUGGCUCAGCAGAGGACCACGGUGUGCUGUUGGUGGCAGUCAACAAGAUCCACGUGGAUGACUCUAGGACUUGCUUCUUGUUAUUGCUGGACGCAAUAAACAUGACGCCAUUGGCCAAGGUCGAGUUUGCAGGAUUAGACAAUGUCCCCAGAGAUUUUCAUUGACUUUUCAAAUCUAAAAGUUGCGAAACUAAAUAAAUUCUACGUUGCAGAAGAGCGUGUAAAAAACUGAUGCAAUUGUUUUUAAAUCACAU